AGCGAACGUUUGCGGCGGGCCUAACACAUGCAAGUCGAACGCAUUAGCAAUAGUGAGUGGCGCACGGGUGCGUAACACGUGGGUAAUCAACCCUUCAGCCUGGGAUAACGACUCGAAAGGGUCGCUAAUACCGGAUACGGCGCGAGAGGCUUCGGCUUCUCACGAGAAAGCCACGCAAGGGGCACUGAAGGACGAGCCUGCGGCCCAUCAGCUAGUUGGUGAGGUAAGAGCUCACCAAGGCUAAGACGGGUAGCUGGUCUGAGAGGAUGAUCAGCCACACUGGAACUGAGACACGGUCCAGACUCCUACGAGAGGCAGCAGUGGGGAAUAUUGCGCAAUGGGCGAAAGCCUGACGCAGCCACGCCGCGUGAGCGAUGAAGGCCU
rnacentral:rRNA from 1 species